rnacentral:lncRNA from 1 species
CUCAAGAAUGCUCCCCUGCUGUGAUCUGUUUGGGCUGGGUAUGAUGAGAUGGGGUGGGACUGGAUUUGAUGAGAUGGAAUGUGCACUGGAGUGAAGAUUCAGGAGUACUGCUUGCUGUUUGUCCUUCUGUUCCUUCUGAUGGCAGUUGCUUUCUAGUGCCUACUAAAUGAGGGAUCAACUCAUGGUGUCCAGCUAUAUGUCCUGUCUCUUUUCUUAUAAAACUAUUCCUGAACACCAUUUGUUGCAUCCCUGCCUCUGCCCUGGUGGAAGCACUGCUGCACUCCAGGUCUCCUCUACCCUCUCUCCUCCAGGAAUUGAGAAAUGUAACAUUUGGCUGCUUCUCUUACACCUUGCUUCAUCACAUCAGUCUGGUUGUUUGAAACUAAUAUCAGGUACUACUUGUUUUGAUAGCACGUAUUGUACUGCUGCCAGGAACUGUUCAUCAGAAAAUGGACUGUGA